CGCGGGAUGGAGCAGUUGGUAGCUUAUCGGGCUCAGCUUUUCAUAAACAAGAGUCGAAGGUCGUAGGUUCAAGUCCUGCUCCCGCAACCA
rnacentral:tRNA from 1 species